rnacentral:rRNA from 1 species
UACGAAGGGUGCAAGCGUUACUCGGAAUUACUGGGCGUAAAGCGUGCGUAGGUGGUCGUUUAAGUCUGUUGUGAAAGCCCUGGGCUCAACCUGGGAACUGCAGUGGAAACUGGACGACUAGAGUGUGGUAGAGGGUAGCGGAAUUCCUGGUGUAGCAGUGAAAUGCGUAGAGAUCAGGAGGAACAUCCAUGGCGAAGGCAGCUACCUGGACCAACACUGACACUGAGGCACGAAAGCGUGGGGAGCAAACAGG